rnacentral:rRNA from 1 species
UACGGAGGGUGCAAGCGUUAUCCGGAUUCACUGGGUUUAAAGGGUGCGUAGGUGGAGUGGUAAGUCAGUGGUGAAAUCCCCGAGCUUAACUUGGGAACUGCCGUUGAUACUAUCUGUCUUGAAUAUUGUGGAGGUGAGCGGAAUAUGUCAUGUAGCGGUGAAAUGCUUAGAUAUGACAUAGAACACCAAUUGCGAAGGCAGCUCGCUACACAUAUAUUGACUCUGAGGCACGAAAGCGUGGGGAUCAAACAGG